rnacentral:rRNA from 1 species
CGUACACUCCUGCGGGAGGCAGCAGUGGGGAAUAUUGGACAAUGGGCGCAAGCCUGAUCCAGCCAUGCCGCGUGAGUGAUGAAGGCCCUAGGGUUGUAAAGCUCUUUCACCGGUGAAGAUAAUGACGGUAACCGGAGAAGAAGCCCCGGCUAAAUUCGUGCCAGCAGCCGCGGUAAUACGAAGGGGGCUAGCGUUGUUCGGAUUUACUGGGCGUAAAGCGCACGUAGGCGGACUAUUAAGUCAGGGGUGAAAUCCCGGGGCUCAACCCCGGAACUGCCUUUGAUACUGGUAGUCUUGAGUUCGAGAGAGGUGAGUGGAAUUCCGAGUGUAGAGGUGAAAUUCGUAGAUAUUCGGAGGAACACCAGUGGCGAAGGCGGCUCACUGGCUCGAUACUGACGCUGAGGUGCGAAAGCGUGGGGAGCAAACAGGAUUAGAAACCCCAGUAGUCCCAUG